rnacentral:rRNA from 1 species
AACGAACGCUGGCGGCAUGCCUAACACAUGCAAGUCGAACGAGACCUUCGGGUCUAGUGGCGCACGGGUGCGUAACGCGUGGGAACCUGCCCUUAGGUUCGGAAUAACUCCCCGAAAGGGGUGCUAAUACCGGAUAAUGUCUUCGGACCAAAGAUUUAUCGCCUUUGGAUGGGCCCGCGUUGGAUUAGCUAGUUGGUAGGGUAAAAGCCUACCAAGGCGACGAUCCAUAGCUGGUCUGAGAGGAUGAUCAGCCACACUGGGACUGAGACACGGCCCAGACCCCGGGGGGAGGGGGGAGGGGGGAAUAUUGGACAAUGGGGGAAAGCCUGAUCCAGCAAUGCCGGGGGGGUGAUGAAGGCCUUAGGGUUGUAAAGCUCUUUUACCCGGGAUGAUAAGGACAGUACCGGGAGAAUAAGCCCGGGCUAACUCCGU